UACGUAGGGUGCAAGCGUUGUCCGGAAUUAUUGGGCGUAAAGAGCUCGUAGGCGGUCUGUCGCGUCUGCUGUGAAAACUCGGGGCUUAACCCCGGGCCUGCAGUGGGUACGGGCAGACUAGAGUGCGGUAGGGGAGACUGGAAUUCUUGGUGUAGCGGUGAAAUGCGUAGAUAUCAAGAGGAACACCUGCGGCGAAGGCGGGUUGCUGGGCCGACACUGACGCUGAAGCGCGAAAGCCAGGGGAGCGAACGGG
rnacentral:rRNA from 1 species